GAUGAACGCUGGCGGCGUGCCUAAUACAUGCAAGUCGAGCGAACAGACGAGGAGCUUGCUCCUCUGACGUUAGCGGCGGACGGGUGAGUAACACGUGGAUAACCUACCUAUAAGACUGGGAUAACUUCGGGAAACCGGAGCUAAUACCGGAUAAUAUAUUGAACCGCAUGGUUCAAUAGUGAAAGACGGUUUUGCUGUCACUUAUAGAUGGAUCCGCGCCGCAUUAGCUAGUCGGUAAGGUAACGGCUUACCAAGGCAACGAUGCGUAGCCGACCUGAGAGGGUGAUCGGCCACACUGGAACUGAGACACGGUCCAGACUCCUACGGGAGGCAGCAGUAGGGAAUCUUCCGCAAUGGGCGAAAGCUUGACGGAGCAACGCCGCGUGAGUGAUGAAGGUCUUCGGAUCGUAAAACUCUGUUAUUAGGGAAGAACAAAUGUGUAAGUAACUAUGCACGUCUUGACGGUACCUAAUCAGAAAGCCACGGCUAACUACGU
rnacentral:rRNA from 1 species